AGUGAACGCUGGCGGCAGGCCUAACACAUGCAAGUCGAACGGAUCCUUCGGGAUUAGUGGCGGACGGGUGAGCAACACGUGGGAACGUGCCCUUUGGUUCGGAACAACUCAGGGAAACUUGAGCUAAUACCGGAUGUGCCCUUCGGGGGAAAGAUUUAUCGCCAUUGGAGCGGCCCGCGUCUGAUUAGCUAGUUGGUGAGGUAAAGGCUCACCAAGGCGACGAUCAGUAGCGGGUCUGAGAGGAUGAUCAGCCACAUGGGGACUGAGACACGGCCCAAACUGCUACGGGGGGGAGCCGUGGGGAAUCUUGCGCAAUGGGCGAAAGCCUGACGCAGCAAUGCAGCGUGAAUGAUGAGGGUCUUAGGAUUGUAAAAUUUUUUCACCGGGGACGAUAAUGACGGAACCCGGAGAAGAAGCCCCGGCUAACUGCGUGCCACCCGCCGCCGUAA
rnacentral:rRNA from 1 species